AAAAAUUAUUAACGCGCUCGCACGUUAACAGCAACAGCAAUGGGGAUGCCCUAACUAAUAAUGGCGUUAUAAUAACUGCAGAUCGGCCGAUUGCAGCAGCAUAAACGGCAAUCUUGAAUAAGACUCGAGAAGUCGCGAUGGCGGAGACUGCAGUGGUUGCGAAGCACUUGCUGCUGGCCAAGUUCAAGGAGGAUCUCUCUCCUGCAGCGAUCGACGAACUCAUCCAGGGCUACGCCAGCCUCGUCUCCCUCGUCCCCUCUUUGAAGACCUUCCACUGGGGAAAGGAUGUGAGCGUUGAGAACCUGCAUCAAGGGUUUACCCAUGUAUUUGAAACAACCUUUGAGAGUGUGGAAGGCAUAUCAGAGUAUCUUGCACACCCGGCUCAUGUGGAGUUUGCUGAUAUUUUUCUCCCUGCACUGGAGAAGAUUAUCAUUAUUGACUACAAGCCUACUACUGCUUAAUCGGCAGUAGAGUUGCAGUUCCAUGAAAUAAGUUAUCUUAUUUUUCCUUGUGCAACAGCAUUGGUAUGUGUUUCCUGGGUUGAAUAUUGUGAGCUGUUGUUGGAGGAACAAUUUCCGUUUUCCACCUAAACGCAAGAAAGCAGGACUGAACUGAUUGCGAGCUAUAAGCCCGAGAGAAGCAUUUACCAAAAUUAGCAACGCUUUUGGCUGGGUUAACUGAAACAAGCACAAAGUAUAAGGUGCUACUUUGUGGCACUCUCCGAUUAUUGGAUUUGCUUUAAUUAAGGUACCAUGGUAAAGCUUGAGCUUGAA